GAUUUAUACAUGAGCAUCCGUUCUCAUACUUGUCUCAACUGAGGUCGUUAUAUUUAGGCAACAAUGCCAUAGACUACAUUCCAGAUGAUGCAUUUAUCAAUGCUUCCAGCUUAGCAUAUCUGCAACUAUCAAGCAACAAGAUUACACAGAUAAAAAAAGUACACUUCAAGAACUGUCCCUUGACAUCUGGUCUGUAUUUAUCUUGGAAUGAAAUUGGAUGGAUAGAAGAUGGAUCUUUGAAUCAUGUCACAUCUUCUGGAACAUUUGAUUUCUCGUACAACAGAUUGUACAAGUUGCCUCUAAAUGGAACCUUCCAUGACUUAUCAUUGUCAAGUGGAUUAUACCUACAGAACAACAGACUAUCUGCCAUACUACCAGACACAUUUGAAACAUU